GAUGAACGCUGGCGGCGUGCCUAAUACAUGCAGGUCGAGCGAACGGACGAGAAGCUUGCUUCUCUGAUGUUAGCGGCGGACGGGUGAGUAACACGUGAAUAACCUACCUAUAAGACUGGGAUAACUUCGGGAAACCGGAGCUAAUACCGGAUAAUAUUUUGAACCGCAUGGUUCAAAAGUGAAAGACGGUCUUGCUGUCACUUAUAGAUGGAUCCGCGCUGCAUUAGCUAGUUGGUAAGGUAACGGCUUACCAAGGCAACGAUGCAUGGCCGACCUGAGAGGGUGAUCGGCCACACUGGAACUGAGACACGGUCCAGACUCCUACGGGAGGCAGCAGUAGGGAAUCUUCCGCAAUGGGCGAAAGCCUGACGGAGCAACGCCGCGUGAGUGAUGAAGGUCUUCGGAUCGUAAAACUCUGUUAUUAGGGAAGAACAUAUGUGUAAGUAACUGUGCACAUCUUGACGGUACCUAAUCAGAAAGCCACGGCUAACUACGUG
rnacentral:rRNA from 1 species